rnacentral:rRNA from 1 species
UACGAAGGGGACUAGCGUUGUUCGGAAUCAUUGGGCGUAAAGAGCUCGUAGGUGGCUCGGUAAGUCGGGUGUGAAAUUUCGAGGCUCAACCUCGAGACGCCACCUGAUACUGCUGUGGCUAGAGUCCGGUAGGGGAGCGUGGAAUUCCUGGUGUAGCGGUGAAAUGCGCAGAUAUCAGGAGGAACACCAGCGGCGAAGGCGGCGCUCUGGGCCGGUACUGACACUGAGGAGCGAAAGCGUGGGGAUCAAACAGG